rnacentral:rRNA from 1 species
UGUACCCUACGGGAGGCAGCAGUGGGGGAUAUUGCACAAUGGGGGGAACCCUGAUGCAGCGACGCCGCGUGAAGGAAGAAGUAUCUCGGUAUGUAAACUUCUAUCAGCAGGGAAGAAAAUGACGGUACCUGACUAAGAAGCCCCGGCUAACUACGUGCCCGCAGCCGCGGUAAUACGUAGGGGGCAAGCGUUAUCCGGAUUUACUGGGUGUAAAGGGAGCGUAGACGGCAGGGCAAGUCUGGAGUGAAAGCCCGGGGCCCAACCCCGGGACUGCUUUGGAAACUGCCAUGCUAGAGUGCUGGAGA